rnacentral:rRNA from 1 species
UACGUAGGGUGCGAGCGUUGUCCGGAAUUAUUGGGCGUAAAGAGCUCGUAGGCGGUUUGUUGCGUCGGCUGUGAAAUCCCGAGGCUCAACCUCGGGUCUGCAGUCGAUACGAGCAAACUAGAGUGUUGCAGGGGAGACUGGAAUUCCUGGUGUAGCGGUGAAAUGCGCAGAUAUCAGGAGGAACACCGGUAGCGAAGGCGGGUCUCUGGGCAACAACUGACGCUGAGGAGCGAAAGCUGGGGGAGCGAACAGG